GAGUUUGAUCCUGGCUCAGGAUGAACGCUGGCGGCGUGCUUAACACAUGCAAGUCGAGCGAUGAAGUUUCCUUCGGGAAACGGAUUAGCGGCGGACGGGUGAGUAACACGUGGGUAACCUGCCUCAUAGAGUGGAAUAGCCUUCCGAAAGGAAGAUUAAUACCGCAUAACGUUGAAAGAUGGCAUCAUCAUUCAACCAAAGGAGCAAUCCGCUAUGAGAUGGACCCGCGGCGCAUUAGCUAGUUGGUGGGGUAACGGCCUACCAAGGCGACGAUGCGUAGCCGACCUGAGAGGGUGAUCGGCCACAUUGGGACUGAGACACGGCCCAGACUCCUACGGGAGGCAGCAGUGGGGAAUAUUGCACAAUGGGGGAAACCCUGAUGCAGCAACGCCGCGUGAGUGAUGAAGGUUUUCGGAUCGUAAAGCUCUAUCAGCAGGGAAGAUAAUGACGGUACCCAAGGAGGAAGCCACGGCUAACUACGUGCCAGCAGCCGCGGUAAUACGUAGGUGGCGAGCGUUAUCCGGAUUUACUGGGCGUAAAGGGAGCGUAGGCGGAUGAUUAAGUGGGAUGUGAAAUACCCGGGCUCAACUUGGGUGCUGCAUUCCAAACUGGUUAUCUAGAGUGCAGGAGAGGAGAGUGGAAUUCCUAGUGUAGCGGUGAAAUGCGUAGA
rnacentral:rRNA from 1 species